rnacentral:tRNA from 1 species
GGGCCGGUGGAGCAGUGGACGGUCGCCCGCCGCGGACGCGGGAGGUCGCGGGUUCAAAUCCCGCCCGGUCCA